CAGCCAUUGAACAGUGAGGGUUCUUUAGCGUGUCACACCUACUGUGACUCGGGACAUCUGUUUUAAGGUCAUCUCCGAGGACCUAUGACAUUCACACUUGAUGCCGAGCAUUUGAUGAUGGAACUGUCACUACCUAUUAAUAAUUUUAACGACUUAGGUCUGUCACAGCCGGGAUUUGAACCCCAGCCUCCCGCAUGCGGGGUGAACGUCCAACCUCUCAGCAACCGUGAGGAUAUCAAGCUGCCUUCUUUUGACAAAUUCAUGAGGAUUUUGAUUUGCUCAAACUUUUUUUUACUAGUACCUGUCUGAUUUCUGGUCAUUCCAGCUCUCAUUGUCACUUUGGUUUUUCAGCUCCCUGGGCCUCUUGAGAUGGUGACACCCUGCAGUAGGAGCAGUUCCUAUCGGUAUCUCUUAAAAGCAGACAGAGGUUCUCAUAGCAUCUGAUCCAUUGCUGGGGACAAACUUUUGUAUGGAGCUGGGUAGCAGUUACUUGAGAUGUCCGGCUGAUUGAUGAGGACUCUAACAUUUUGUAGGACUUGGAUAGCUCUGUUGCUGUAGAAAAUGUCAGGACAGUGGAGAUUUAGAUAAGUGGUGUGAUGUUAUUGAUGGUAAACAGAAGACUGUGACCUUGAAUCUGAAGAUCUGUGAUGAAGACUGGACGUUUGGGGUCACUCUCUGUUACAGUACUACAAAUCUAACAGUGCCACACUCAGCCACAAAGAGGUUGUCUCUGAUGUCCACACAUAAACCUAAUGGAGACGCUAAAUCACAGUGAAUGUAACGGAGGAACUGUCCGUCCUGAUCUAGGAUGUGGAUACGGUGAUUGUAAGGGUCUGCUGUCAGGAUGUGACUCUGGCUGUCUGUAGUGAUGCCGACUGGAUGAAAUGAUUGCUCGGUAUUAGAGGGAUGACCAGUGUAUCUAAAUCGGAGUUUUCCUGACUGAUUGACCACCACUACUGCACUAGCUGACCGGUCAGCCACACAGAUAUCCAGGUUCUUGUUCUCACUGAGGUAUUUAAUGUAACCACCAGAUGAGUAGAGAGGACGACCCUGAUCAUCAAACUGAAUGCUUUGUUUCUCUGUGGAGCCGGAGUAACGCACGACUUUGGAUUGUGUUUCAUCAUCACUGAUCAUGGUAACCAGGAGGUCGUUAUCCGCGGUACAGCAGACAUUGCGAGGUCUCCACCCCUGUAGUGUGAUCACGGUCUGUAUCUGUUUAUUCUUAAUUAAGUUCACGGUGUUAUUAUUAGGGUCAGUAUAAACAAGAUCUCCGUCCCGUGUCACUGCUAUGUCUGUUGGUACGUUCCCUGACUUGGUUUGUAUUGAUGUCAGUAGUUUACUCUGGAGGUUGAGCAGCUUCAUGGUUUUGUUUAACUGACCGCAUGUCCAGACUUGAUCUUCACUCAGACAGCUAACACUGAAUAGUCCGUAUCUACCAUACCCAGUGUCUAUGGUGGCGGUGACGCGCGGCUCAUCAAGCAGUGGUUUGACUGGAGGAGACGAUACAGCUUCUGCUGACUUCAUUGUGUCGCCAUGUUCUGUGUUAAUGGAUAAUGGCGACAGAGAACCAAACAUUUCAUUGAGCUGAUCUUUGUUUAUUUUCUGAGGAGAGAAACUCGGUAAUGUGACUCGGACUUUAGGCGGUAAUGUUCUAAAUUGGGAAUUCCUAGAUUUGUAAGUAGAGGUUAAGGAGACGUCAUUUAAUUUUAGGAUGGAUUUCAAGUCGGACAUGAUCUGUUUGAGUUCCGCCAUUUUCUGUGUGAUUUCUUCUGUAUUUUUAUUUAGCGCGUCCAGAUGUUUAGUUUUCAUCUCCGCAAUGGCGGAUUUCUGUCGGUUGACAAUGGCGGUAAUCUCCCGGUGUAGGAUUUCUCCUUGUUCAUCGGCAUCUGUCGUCAGUUUCCCGUAUUUCGUUUCUAACUCGGCUUUCUCGGUUUCGACAUUAGACGCCAUUUCUUUAUAUCGCGGGUAAAUUCUUGUCUCGAGUUCUUCUAGAUCUUUUUGUAAACUUUCUGUUUUAGCGCUGAAUUUUUCCAGAAUAUCUGACACAUCGUGACCUUUGUGUUUUCCAAAUAAGGCGCAGGUAGAACAGACAGGAAC